GUUCUCGUAGCUAAGUGGUAUAGCGUGGGAUUGCAAACACUUGCAGUUACAUCCCGAGGUCGCGUGUUCGAUCCACGCCGGGAACU